rnacentral:piRNA from 1 species
AUUUGAUUACUAAAUGCUUUGAUUUCAGA